rnacentral:misc_RNA from 1 species
GAUGAAGAACGCAGCGAAAUGCGAUAAGUAAUGUGAAUUGCAGAAUUCAGUGAAUCAUCGAAUCUUUGAACGCACAUUGCGCCCCCUGGUAUUCCGGGGGGCAUGCCUGUUCGAGCGUCAUUUCACCACUCAAGCCUCGCUUGGUAUUGGGCAACGCGGUCCGCCGCGUGCCUCAAAUCGACCGGCUGGGUCUUCUGUCCCCUAAGCGUUGUGGAAACUUUCGCUAAAGGGUGUUCGGGAGGCUACGCCGUAAAACAACCCCAUUUCUAAGGUUGACCUCGGAUCAGGUAGGGAUACACGCUGAACUUAAGCAUAUCAAUAAGCGGAGGA